GAUGAACGCUAGCGGCAGGCUUAACACAUGCAAGUCGAGGGGUAACAGGAAAAAGCUUGCUUUUUCGCUGACGACCGGCGGACGGGUGCGUAACGCGUAUGCAACCUACCUCUUACUGGGGGAUAGCCCGAAGAAAUUCGGAUUAAGACCCUAUAGUAUUUAAUUUCCGCAUGGUUAUUAAAUUAAAGGUUACGGUAAGAGAUGGGCAUGCGUCCCAUUAGCUAGAUGGUAAGGUAACGGCUUACCAUGGCAACGAUGGGUAGGGGGCCUGAGAGGGUGAUCCCCCACACUGGUACUGAGACACGGACCAG
rnacentral:rRNA from 1 species